GCUAGUCGCACGGGCUUAGACCCGUGGCAUAUAGCUCAGUAACACGUGGCCAAACUACCCUACAGACCGCAAUAACCUCGGGAAACUGAGGCCAAUAGCGGAUAUAACUCUCAUGCUGGAGUGCAGAGAGUUAGAAAUGUUCCGGCGCUGUAGGAUGUGGCUGCGGCCGAUUAGGUAGAUGGUGGGGUAACGGCCCACCAUGCCGAUAAUCGGUACGGGUUGUGAGAGCAAGAACCCGGAGACGGUAUCUGAGACAAGAUACCGGGCCCUACGGGGCGCAGCAGGCGCGAAACCUUUACACUGCACGACAGUGCGAUAGGGGGACUCCGAGUGCGAGGGCAUAUAGCCCUCGCUUUUCUGUACCGUAAGGUGGUACAGGAACAAGGACUGGGCAAGACCGGUGCCAGCCGCCGCGGUAAUACCGGCAGUCCGAGUGAUGGCCGAUAUUAUUGGGCCUAAAGCGUCCGUAGCCGGCCGGACAAGUCCGUUGGGAAAUCGACGCGCUCAACGCGUCGGCGUCCAGCGGAAACUGUCCGGCUUGGGGCCGGAAGACCUGAGGGGUACGUCCGGGGUAGGAGUGAAAUCCUGUAAUCCUGGACGGACCACCAAUGGGGAAACCACCUCAGGAAGACGGACCCGACGGGAG
rnacentral:rRNA from 1 species